UACAGAGGGUGCGAGCGUUAAUCGGAGUUACUGGGCGUAAAGGGCGCGUAGGCGGUUUUGAAAGUAAGAUGUGAAAUCCCUGGGCUUAACCUAGGAACAGCAUUUUAAACUUCAAGACUAGAGUACAGUAGAGGGUGGCGGAAUUUCCGGUGUAGCGGUGAAAUGCGUAGAGAUCGGAAGGAACAUCAGUGGCGAAGGCGGCCACCUGGACUGUAACUGACGCUGAGGCGCGAAAGCGUGGGGAGCAAACAGG
rnacentral:rRNA from 1 species